GCCGUCGUAGCUCAGUGGUAGAGAACCCCCUUGGUAAGGGGGAGGCCGGGGGUUCGAGCCCCCCCGACGGCA
rnacentral:tRNA from 1 species